rnacentral:tRNA from 1 species
AGAAAGUUAUGCAAGAACUGCUAACUCNAUGCACCCGUACCUAAACCCACGGCUUUCUU